AAAUUUUGACCAAAGUCCGACGAUGAUAUAAUAUGUUUUCAUUGUAGCUGUACCUGUGGAGAAUGGAUGAAACUGAUAAGACAAUAGUGACAGCCAGUAAUAAACAUUGGCGAAACACAGAAAUGAUUGCAAACACUUCCUUCCGAUGCAAAAACAAUAUUAAACAAUCUGAAUAUACUAUUUCCUUGUUUUAUUUGCAUGCACGUUUUAUGUUUAAAACAUAUAUGAAUCUGAUACAUCAAAAUAAAAACUUUACAAUUGUUUCCCUAAACUCUAUUUUAACCACAAAAUAAUUAUGUCGUACGUGUUGCAUCACACGAAUCAUUCAUACUUUGAUAUUUUCUUAUGUCAGAUAAUUAUUUAAUGCUCUCUCGUGAAUGAGUAUUAUAUCAAAUUCAAAAUAAUUAGCUACACUUCUUACCAAUCAAGUAUUAUAUAACUACAAUUUGUAUCCUAGUGUCCGUUACUCAUUCGAAUUUAUUUCACUUUUCUAUUUAUACUACAAAGAACGUUAUUAUAGAACUUAACGUAUUGAAAAGCAUUAUAAACUGUCGGAAUAGUCUUUAAGCAAUUGAUUCGAAACAAAUCAAAACUGUAGACUUUUUCUAGUACUUCAAGUUAUUAUUCAAAUUGUUCACACUAUGUCUAUAACCCUACAAUGUAUUUCUUAAUGUGAAUUCGAUUAUCAUACAUACAUUUGAUUUAUACGUUGUUUCUGCCAUUAAACUGGUAAACAUGUAGAUUGAAAUUGUAUUAUAUUUAACGCGCGAGACUACUUUACAUAAUUUUGUAAUAUGUAUAUGAAUGUUAUUUCUUUUGUUUUAUAAAAAGUUAUGAUAAUUUUUUAAAUGUGUAGUCUUUCGAAAUCAUGAAAUAAAUUUGCAACUGG